ensembl:snoRNA
ACCCCCUGGCAGUGGGCAAAGAGACACCUGAUGGGUGGUGUUGCUCUUAUAUCAGUCGGGGCAGAGGGGCGUACAGCCCUUUGUUCAACCCAGCUUGGUGCUUGCGUUGGUGGCCAGAGCUGUUUCAUGCUUGAGGCACAUGA